rnacentral:misc_RNA from 1 species
UUAAGUUCAGCGGGUAUCCCUACCUGAUCCGAGGUCAACCAUAGAAAAUUGGGGGUUGCUGGCAAGCAUCCACCGAGACUCAAUCGCGAGGGUUUAAUUACUACGCGUAGAGCUCAAUGGCACCGCCACUAAUUUUAAGGCCCACCGUUACCGGUAGGGCCCAAGACAAGCUGAGCUUGAGGGUUGAAAUGACGCUCGAA